AGUGAGAAGCUUCAAUAAGAUUCUGAAAGAGACUUGCCUUGUGAGUUUGGUGUACUCAAAAACCAAGCGUCCUUUUUCCUUAUGAACAUGCUUCUUGACUUCUGCUCAGUUCUGCUACUUCUUUUAAUGUUCAGAAGGAGCAAUGGAGACUCAGUGACUCAGACAGAAGGCCAGGUUACUGUCACAGAGGGAUUGCCUGUGAAGCUGAACUGCAACUAUGAGACUAGUUACACAAGUCCUUUCCUUUUCUGGUAUGUGCAACAUCCCAGGAAAGCUCCCCAGUUACUUCUGAAUAGCUUCACAGACAAGAAGACAGAGCACCAAGGGUUCCAUGCCACUCUCCAUAAGAGCAACAGCUCCUUCCACCUGCAGAAGUCCUCAGUGCAGCUUUCGGACUCUGCCCUGUACUACUGUGCUCUGAGUGACACAGUGAGGGAGACUGCAGGGGAAGCUGCACACAAACCAAGGGUGUAGAGAGGGCUGAGGGAAGUGGCCUUGAGAGGGAGGAUUGUGUGCCUUCUCUACAUGGGGUUUAACCAGGCUCCUGAAAAACAGCAACAGAUUUUAGGUCAAAUUCCUAGAAAACAAGGAAUUUGUGGAUCUAACAGGAUAAGAUGGAAGUCAUUACCAGAGACAACAUAGGCCUUGAUCUCCUGACACAAUGUUUUCUCCCUAAGUGGAAGACUUUUACCAGAAAACAUCUCCAGGAAAACUUGGACAUGGGAUUUAUCUCUACUGAGAUAUCUUACAAAAUUUAGUUAUUUAAAUUCUCUAGAAAAUCUCUUUUCUUACCCCAAAGAUGUAUGACCAAAUGAAAAAAAAAUAGACUUUUUUAAAAACUCUGCUUCAAUUUCACUCCAGAAGUUAUUUACAUUUUUCCUCCCCUUGGCUUAUGUUACACAGGGUUAAGUCUAUCUUAUUGUAGAAGCUAGGGGGCCCACUUGUUCAUCCCUGUUACCUGACUAGCUUAAUCCUGAAAUAACCACACAGAAACUGUAUUAAUUAAAUCACUGCUUGACCCAUGAGCUCUAACUUCUUAUUGGCUUCCUCUUACUGCUGUAGAAAGUCUUACAGCUUGUGGCUACCUGCCUACUGGGGUGUGAAUUCUUCUUAUAUAUAUAUGCUGCUGCCUUGACCCCUUCUUUUCCGGCUGCUCUUUUGGAUUGCUGUGUUCGA